CUACGGGGUGCUCCAGUGGGGAAUCUUGGACAAUGGGCGAAAGCCCGAUCCAGCGACACCGCGUGGGGGAUGAAGGCUUUCGGGUCGUAAACCCCUUUUCUGGGGGAAGAAUAAGGUCAGGAGGAAAUGCCUGUCCGAUGACGGUACUCCAGGAAUAAGCAUCGGCAAACUUCGUGCCAGCAGCCGCGGUAAGACGAAGGAUGCGAGCGUUAUCCGGAAUCACUGGGCGUAAAGGGCGUCUAGGCGGUUAGGUAAGUCACCUGUGAAAUCCCACGGCUCAACCGUGGACGGUCUUGUGAUACUGCCUGGCUUGGGUGUAGGAGAGGGAAGUGGAACUCACAGAGUAGCGGUGGAAUGCGUAGAUACUGUGAGGUACCCCGAUGGCGAAGGCAACUUCCUGGCCUACUACCGACGCUGAAGCGCGAAAGCGUGGGGAGCAAAGGGGAUUAGAUACCCUCGUAGUC
rnacentral:rRNA from 1 species